CUCUGCCGAAACCAAGAGAGGCUGGAGAUUACAGAACCGGUGAUCAAAGUGUUUUGAGGCAUUCAAAUCACUCUGCAUUCUCAAAGUACAAUAACGGUGCUACUUCUGCUAGUAAGGCUCCAGAAGAAAAUGUGGGAAGUUGUUCUCC